rnacentral:rRNA from 1 species
GACGAACGCUGGCGGCGUGCUUAACACAUGCAAGUCGAACGGAAAGGCCCUGCUUUUGUGGGGUGCUCUAGUGGCGAACGGGUGAGUAACACGUGAGUAACCUGCCCUUGACUUUGGGAUAACUUCAGGAAACUGGGGCUGAUACCGGAUAGGAGCUCCUGCUGCAUGGUGGGGGUUGGAAAGUUUCGGCGGUUGGGGAUGGACUCGCGGGUUAUCAGCUUGUUGGUGGGGUAGUGGUUUACCAAGGCUUUGACGGGUAGCCGGCCUGAGAGGGUGACCGGCCACAUGGGGACUGAGAUACGGCGCAGACGCCUACGGGAGGCAGCAGUGGGGAAUAUUGCACAAUGGGCGGAAGCCUGAUGCAGCAACGCCGCGUGCGGGAUGACGGCCUUCGGGUUGUAAACCGAUUUCGCCUGUGACGAAGCGUGAGUGACGGUAAUGGGUAAAGAAGCACCGGCUAACUACGUG